UCCCCGAGCCGUGGCAGCGAGCGGCGGAGCGGCGGCCCGGCGGGCUAGGGAAGGAGCGAGCAGCGUCCGCAGCCCGGCGAUGCUGCAGCGGCUCCCGCGGAGCCUCGGCGGGGAGGGCCCGGCCCCCGCGCGCCCCGCACCGCCCGGCGGCGGCGCGCCCUGAGCGGGCGGCGGCGGCCCCGCGGCGCAGCGGGCGCUGUUGCGCAGCGCUGCCCGGCGCCGCCGGCCUCCUGCCCCCGCCGCCGGCUCGGCUCGGCGCGGCUCCCGCGGAGACGGAGCGCUGAUUCAUGGGGCCCCGUGCCGGCUGCCUGGGCGAGGAGAGCGCGGCGCUGCCGCUGCCCCCGCGCGGGGUGUGAAGCCCCGGCCCCUCCUCCGCAGCCCCGGGCUCGCCCGCCCUGCUCGGGAGUGUGGUCCCUGCCGGGAGCCGCCGCGCCUGGCGCACGGAGGGAAGCGUUGAUGCAUCGCUGUGGAAAUUCAUUGUGUGACUUUCUGGGUAUUUACUGAGUUUCAGACCGAGAUGCAGCUCUUGAAAGCUUUAUGGGCACUAGCAGGAGCAGCGAUCUGCUGUUUUCUUAUAUUUGUCAUCCACUCACAGUUUCUUAAAGAAGGUCAACUGGCUGCAGGUACAUGUGAGAUUGUUACUUUGGACAGAGAUAGCAGUCAGCCCCGAAGGACGAUAGCCCGACAAACAGCUCGCUGUGCGUGUAAAAAAGGACAGAUUGCCGGUACAACAAGAGCAAGGCCAGCCUGUGUUGAUGCACGAAUUAUCAAAACAAAACAGUGGUGUGAAAUGCUUCCAUGUUUAGAAGGAGAAGGCUGUGAUUUGCUAAUCAAUAAAUCAGGCUGGACCUGUACACAACCAGGAGGACGGAUAAAGACAACCACGACUGAAGACCAGCUGGAAAUGUCCUGAGGCCAUGGUCUAGUGGUCUGAGCUUGGGACUGGGAGCCAGAAACUCCUGAGCUCUAAUCCCGGCUCUGACAGUGACUCCCUCUGUGGCCUUGGCCUGUCUGAGGCCAUGUGGUUUGGAGAUCUGAUCACUAGUCCGAAAAGGAAAGGCUGUUUGCAAGAUUUCUGGGGUGUUUUUUCCUGGAAAAGGUCUCCUGACAAAUGCAGCAACACAGAAUCCUCGUAGGAGUGGUUUAGGCUCUGUGUGAGCUACUUAGUCAAGUUUCACUGCUGUUGAUCAUCAUCCGUUAUAUGUCAUCAACUCAACUGUCUGUUUCUCUGUAUCUCAUGAAUGACAGCAUAAUUCCUCUACAUUAUGAGCUAAAGUUUGUUCUACCAUAUUAAGGAUCACUGGACUAAGGAAUCUAGAAAAAGAGAUAUGCUUGGGCAUUAGCAAUACAAAAAAGUUCAUGGUUAACGUUUCAUCUGCGUUAUACACCACUGCUGGACUUGCUGUUACCUACAUGUUUUAAUUCGAAGAGUCUGCUACAAUGAAGAGUAUCAUCCCAGUCAGCCUUAGAGAAGACUGUUUUGCCUAUGGGAGGACACUGAAGUGCAAAAGAGAAACUCUUCUUGUGCCCUAAACUGUCUGAAUUGCUUUUAUUUUCUUAUGCUUUCAGUAUAUACAAUAGACCAAAGAGCAAAAUCUAUUUUAAAGUGGACACAAUCUUACUGUUAACAGAGUUAUGUCACUAAAUUGUAGGAGGUCUCCACAAAGACAUGAUCCCAGCUUUCACAAAGCUGAGAUGUUGUUCAGCAGAAGUCUUUAUGGAAAACUGCAGUAAAAACUAACUCAGAGACCUACUCUUGAAAUGCCACGUUCGAGAGAACAUAAUGGAGCACUGAGUUUGAAAAACUUGGACAAAAAGAACACAAACUGUCUACAUGGCACCUUUAUUCCUCUGUACUUAGAUUGACUUUCUCGUACUAAAAUCAUUUUCAGUUUUAACCAGUUAAACAUGCCUCUUCUACAGUUCCAUUUUUGAUAGUUAAAGUUGGAUAAUACGGUAUUUGCAAAGAGCAUGUUUGGUCAUCUGUGGCCUAUGUCUCAUCUGAAACACCAUUUAGCACCAGAAAGCAAAUUAAAGAGAAAACAAAAAGUAACACUUGUUUGAAAGAGAUCAUUAAAUGUAUUUUGAAAAGCCUAAAGUUAUAUAUUUAACAGUUUUUAUAUGUUGUAUAUUUGUAGAAAAUCCUAUUUAACAAUUAACGUGAUAACUCUGACGGUCAUGCCAAGUGGUUCAGAGUUAAGUUGUGUUUUAUUACUUCAGUUGUCUCUGAAGUGGCUGGUAUCGUUUGCUUUCUUCCAUUGGGACAUUCUGGAUGUAAAGCAUGACCAGAGAGGACUGUGUUGAAAAAGCAAAGAAUAAUGUUGUUUAUAUUACAUAAAUGCAUUCAACCAUUGCA